CAAUAGCGUAUAUUAAAGUUGUUGCAGUUAAAAAGCUCGUAGUUGGAUUUGUGGAUUUUGCGAGUCGGUCGCACUAAUUGUGUGUACAUGAUUCGUAGGUCCAUCCUUGGGUGGAAUCUGUGUGGCAUUAGGUUGUCGUGCAGGGGAUGCCCAUCGUUUACUGUGAAAAAAUUAGAGUGUUCAAAGCAGGCUUAUGCCGUUGAAUAUAUUAGCAUGGAAUAAUAAGAUAGGACCUUGGUACUAUUUUGUUGGUUUGCGCACCGAGGUAAUGAUUAAUAGGGACAGUUGGGGGUAUUCGUAUUCCAUUGUCAGAGGUGAAAUUCUUGGAUUUUUGGAAGACGAACUACUGCGAAAGCAUUUACCAAGGAUGUUUUCAUUAA
rnacentral:rRNA from 1 species